UAUUCAAUUGUAUUAUUUCAUCUUGUCCUUAUCUACCUUAAAUAAAUUGGUUUAAAAAAAAAAAAAGACUUCCACUGUUUACCUCACGUGUUUUUAAUAAUCCGUUCGUCAGAACCUCUGUUCUUCAUAUUUUCCCUUUGGAUUUCCUUAAUGUCUCACUUGGUAUUUUUUAUAUUACGCACAAGAUUAUUCUAAACACAACCAGAUUUUUGUAGUUGAGCCCUGGUUUUGUAAAUAAUCAUUUAAGAACUCCCAUUGCUUCAUAACCAUAGUUUUGGAUUUUCUCCUUAUUAUAUCCGUCAAUUUUGCUAAUUCCAGGUGCUCGCAAAGUUUCCCCAACCAUUCUCUUUUUGUUGGGAUGCUGUCUUCUUUCCAAUAGCUAGCAAUCAAAAUUUUUGCUGCUGUUGUCGCGUAUAGAAAUAAGUUAGUUUUAUCUUUUGGGAUAUCUUUAUCUAGAAUUCCUAAUAGAUAUGCCUCUGCCUUUUUUGUGUGUGAUGUCCUUAUCAAUUUUUUUAUUUCGUCAUGGAUCAUGUCCCAAAAGAUUUUAAUCUUUGGGCAAGUCCACCACAUGUGGUAUAACGUACCUUUUGUUCUGUUACAUUUCCAACAUUUGUCGUUGUUCCUUUUAUUUAUUUUUGACAAUCUGUCAAGGGUUAGGUACCAUCUGUGGUGAAUUUUUCUGAAAUUCUCCCUUAAUAAAUCACACGCAGUAAAAUUUAUGUUUUCCUCCCAAAAAGUUUUCCAUCUUUCCAGAUCUAUCUCAUAUCCCAAAUCGUGCUCCCAUUUUAACAUGUUUUCCCCUUUCGUCUCUUGUUCUAAGGUGGUUUUCAUUAAUAAUCUAUACAUUUUUGCAAGUAUUUUUUGAUCGCUUUGCAAUAUUUCCUUUUCUAAUUUUGAGGUUUUAUUUUCAAAUUCCCCCCUUUUUAUGUCUUUUUUCAUAUGUUGCUUUUAAUUGAUAAUAUUGUAACCAAUUUAUUCCAAAUGUUUGUAAUUGUUCGUAAGUUUUUAAUUUAAUAUUUACGUCUGCAUCCUCUAAUAUUUCCCUAUAUGUUGGCCAAGUUUCUUUUACAUUACUCUUUAAUGUUGUAGUUGCUUCCACUGGCGAAACCCAUUGGGGAGUUUUCUCAAUAAUUUUUCCUUUUGUUCUUUCCCAGACAUCCAAUAGAGCCUUUCUUACUAUGUGAUUUGUAAAUUUUUUAUGUUGAUCUUUUUUGUCAUAGAAUAAAUAGCCGUGCCAGCCGUAUAUUUUGUCCCAGCCCUCUAGUGUUAGGACUUCAUUAUCUUUUAAUAAUAUCCAUUUUUUUAUCCAACACCAACACGCUGCCUCAAAAUACUUUCUUAAAUCUGGCACUGCGAAUCCUCCACUUUCCUUUGGGCCCGUCAUUACUUCUAAUUUUAUCCUUGCUUUUCCGCCCUGCCAUAUAAAAUUUGCAAGAUCUCUUUGCCAGCUUAUAAAAUAUUUAGUUCCUAUUACAAUUGGAAUCAUUUGGAAUAAAAAUAGAAUUUUGGGAAGUAUCAUCAUUUUAAUCAUAGAUAUUCUUCCUCCUAAUGAUAGUUUUAGUUUUCCCCAUUUAUCCAUAAUUCCUUUAAUUUCUUUCCAUUUAUAAUUAUCUUUAAAUAAAUUUGUAUUUUUAUUUGUAAUCCAUAUCCCUAAGUAGUUCACUUUAUUUUCUAUUUUUAGUCCUGUUGUUUCCUCUAAUUCCUUUUUCCCUUUCUCGCCUAUAUUUUUAGUUAUCAAUUUCGAUUUAUCUUUGUUCAAUUUGAAUCCUGCUGCUUCGCCAAAUUCUUUCAUUCUUUCUAAUGCUUUUUUAUACUUUGUUUUGGUGUUUUGGUUGUAAUGAUCACAUCGUCUGCAAAUGCUCUUACUUUGUAACACUGUGUACCAAGACAUAUGCACUUUAUUUCUAUGUCCUUUCUCAGAGCUAUUAAUAGGGUUUCUAAUAUUGUUAUAAAUAGGAGUGGGGAUAAAGGACAUCCCUGUCGUGUCCCUCUCUCGAUGUCGAAUUCUUCUGUAAUUUCGUUGUUUAGGAUUAAUUUGGCUCUUUGUUUUUUGUAGAUUGCUUGAAUUCCAUUCAUAAAUCUUUUACCUAAAUUUAAACUUUCACAGGUUUUGAUCAUAAAUUUCCAAGAGACACUGUCAAAUGCCUUUUCAGCGUCUACCAAAAGCAUUGAAAUUUAUUUACUUGGGUUCAUUUCGGCAUAUUCUAUUAAGUCUAUAAUUAUUCUAGUGUUGUCCUUUAUUUGUCUGGCUGGCAAAAAUCCUGCCUGAUGUUUUUUAAUUACCCUUUUUAGCAGAGUUUUCAUUCUAUUUGCAAGAACUCCAGUAAAUAUUUUAUAGGCUAUAUUCAAUAAAGAUAUUGGCCUGUAGUUUUUUAUAGGUCUCAUUUAUUAUUAUGCUUAAAUGUUCUAAAACAGUCCACAAUCCUGCCUUAACUAAACAUAAUGUUAUAUGGGUUACUUGGAAUCACCACUCUGCUGUGGUUCCAAUGAAAAAAUGACCUUUGGCUUCAUUUUUUUUUCCGUUGGGGGCUGAAUAAAUUUAGAGUGCAUUAUUUCCAUGUCAGUUACUUAUGUGAGUAGACAUACAAAUAAUUGCACUGCAUGUUUACCUUGUUUAGAAGGCAAGUCCCCCUUGAAUUCAGUGAGACUUAUGCCCAGGUAAAUGGGGAUUGAAGCCAUAUUAUUUAUCCAUUAUUCCUUACAUAAAAUUAAUUAGCUUCUUAAUCGUAUCCUGAAUUAUUUCCCUGUAGCUUGUCCUUUCUCAGCACUUGAAUUAUAACCUGUCUUGAACUGAUUCAACAUUUGUGGUGAGCAUGGACAUUAAGUAAGUGUAUAUCAUUUUAACGGUUUUCCAAAACCAGUAUUCUUAUAAAAUUAACUUAAUCACUUAACAUCUUUCUUUCUUUCUAAUUCAGCAUUAAACAUAUUAAUUCAUCACAUUACAUAUUUAAGUCCUAAGCCUAUCUGGUGUUUGCAAGCUUUUCCAAUUAGUUUAACUUAACAUAUUUAACUAAAUAGUCUUUAAAUUUCGUCCAUUCUUCCUGAUACUCCUCCUCCUUCUGGUCACGGACUCUUCCAGUCAGGUCAGCUAGCUCCGAAAAAUCCAUCAUCUUCAUCUGCCAGUCUUCCACUGUUUUCCAGUUCUUGGCUAAUAAAAUUUGAGCAGCAGUUGUGGCAUACACAAAUAGUUUAGCAUCUUUCUUCGGCAAUUCCAAACCUGUUAUUCCAGGAAGAAAGGCCUCUGGUUUAUUUAUAAAUGUAUAUUUCAACAUUUUUUUCCAAUUCAUUAUAAAUCUUUUCCCACAAGUCUUUCACCUUGGGGCAGGUCCACCACAUAUAAUAGAAGGUACCUUCUUUUUCAUUACAUUUCCAACAUAGGUUGUCACUAUUAUGAUAAAUCUUUGCUAAUUUCACAGGAGUCAGAUACCAUCUAUACAUCAUUUUCAUUAAGUUUUCAUUUUCAUUUUCACUGUACAUGCAGUGAACUUGACCCCUUUCUUCCACAAUCUUUCCCAAUCCUCAAACAUUAUGUUAUGUCCUACAUCUCUUGCCCAAUCUAUCAUCACUGAUUUAACUUGUUCAUCCUUUGUAUGCCACUCCAACAAUAAGUUACACAUUUUAGACAAACUUUGGAAUCCAGCGGCUUCGUCUCCAACUUAGAUUUUUCAGAACCAAAACCAUUUUUCUUAUCUAAUUUGUAUAAUUCAUUAAUCUGGUGAUAAUAUAGCCAAUUUAACUUAUUUAAACUUGAUCAAAUGGUUUUAGUUUGUAUCCUUCUUUAUCCUCCAAUAAUAAAUCUGAAUAUAUCAACCAUUUGAUAUCCAUGUUUAACUUUUGCUGGGCCUUCGCCUCCAUUGGUGAGAGCCAUCUGGGUGUCUUCCUUUCUAAAAGAUCUUUAUAUUUUAUCCAUACAUUGUACAAAGAUUUCCUAAUUACAUGAUUUUUAAAUGCAUUAUGGGCCUUUACUUUAUCAUACCAUAAAUAUGCAUGCCAUCCAAACACAUUAUCAAAUCCCUCUAAAUCUAAAACAUCAGUAUCUUCCAGUUGUACUUUGGUACAUUAUUUUAGACAAGAGCCUAGGUUCAAAUUUACAGCAUGUUAGCAUCCCACAUUAAUAGUUAAAGGUGUGUUUCCAUCAGCUGUCUUGCAUCAUUUCUAACACUGAAGGGGUGGUUCGAUUUUCUACUCUCUUGUGUACGAAAGGAAAGUGUGAUGGGAUGAGGAGCUGCUUGUGCGUAAAAUAGUAUCCCCUCAGAGUUUGUUCAAGUCCACAAACCUCUGUCUGUGACGGAGCCCCUCAGACAUGGCUCCUCUAGUCACUAGCAGAUUCCGACAGUGGUUGCUUUCGGAAUCGCUUCCAACAUAAAAGCUCCUUAACGGAAACACGUCUUCUGGACUCUCUGCGUGACAGUUUCCGGCGAGGAGUGGGUGUUCCUACAGGAGGUCCUGAAACCUCCCCACUGUUUUCGCUGGAAGUGUCUCUGAGCCAUCCCUCCAGCUCACUUUCCCUCAGCUCAGCUCCUCUCCCCUACUGGUUCCCUCUUCAGCUGCUGAGUCUCUCCCAACCUGUGUGAGCCCUUUCACCUCCCUUCCUUCCGAUGGCAGUUCCCUGACAUCCACCUCCCCUCCAGGGCCCCUUUCACCCCCUCUCGCCCCCUCCUCUACGGGCGGUGAGGAGGCAAAACCCCGGCAUGAACUUCCUUCAUCUUCCGAUGUCUCGAACACUUCUCUCCACCUGUUGCGGUUCCUGGUCUCGAAGUACUCCUCCUCCUCAGAGUCCAUCUCCCCUUCCCCUUCCGAGUCCGGGAAUCCUCCCAACUCCUCCUCCUCAUCAGUGGUCCCAAAGUAUUCCCUCCGGAACCUCUCCACAGGCUGAGGUUUCCUUGGGAACCUUUGAUGGAACGUUUCUAUCAAUACCUCGUCAUUGAUAUCUUCGGCCAUUACCCAAGUGUUUUCUGACUCCGGUUCUCCUUCCCACGCUACCAAAUACUCCACCUGAUCCCCCUUCCACCUGGCGUCGAGGAUUUCUGCCAUAUGGCUGCUGCAUUCUCUUUCUUCUAUGACCGGUCCCCGAGUGGCCAUCCCUUCUCGUCCCCCUUCGUACGGUGACAGUAACGACCUGUGAAAUACUGGGUGCAGUUUCAUGUGGUUGGGUAACCGGAGCCUGAAAGCCACUGGGUUGACCUGUUGAAUGACCUCAAAGGGACCCAACCUCCUGGGUCUUAAUUUCUUACAACCUCCUUUGAUCGGCAACCCUUGGGUUGACAGCCACACCCUAUCUCCCACCCUUAUGGUUUCACCUUCCCUUCGGUUCUUGUCUGCCUGCCUCUUGUAUUCUUCCUUCGCCCUUUCUAAGUUGAGUUGGAGCUGACGAUGGAUUGCUUCCAUUUCUUCCACAAAAUGCUCGGCUGCCGGGACGCUCCAUCUCUCCCCAUCUCCCCUGGGAAAGCCCUGGGAUGACACCCAUAAUUAGCCAAGAAGGGCUCAUCCCUGUGGACACAUUCUCGGCAUUGUUGUAGGCAAAUUCCGCCAGCGCCAACUUUUCUACCCAGUCAUUCUCUCUGUCAUUGACAUAACACCUCAGGUAUUGCUGGAAGACACCGUUUGCUCUUUCCGCCUGCCCGUUGGUUUCAGGGUGCCGGGCAGUUGAAAAAUUGACCUCCACCUGCAGUAAGCUCAUGAGCUUCCUCCAGAACCUGGAAGUAAAUUGUUUUCCUCGGUCUGAGACCACCCUCAAUGGCACCCCGUGCAACCUAAAAAUGUGUUCUACAAAUAACCCGCUGUCUCUUCCGCCGUGACUGCAUGCGAGCAAGCUACAAAGUGGCACAUCUUUGUUAGUAGGUCUACCACCACCAUGAUGGCUGUUUUCCCUUUGGACUUCGGCAGAUCAGUCAUAAAAUCUAUCGACACUGCCUCCCAAGGUCGUUCUGGGGUUGGUAAGGGUUCUAAUAGCCCCGCCGGCGCCCGCCUUUCCCCUUUGGCUCGCUGGCAUUGCUCGCACCCUCUUACAUACUCACGUACAUCUUCCCUCACCUUAGGCCACCAAAAUUCCCUGGUGACCAACCACAUGGUUUUGUGUUGUCCAAAAUGCCCCGCCGUAGGGCUGUCGUGCAACUGCUUGAGUACCCUCCCCUUAAGUCUCCUUCAGGGAUAUACAGUGCCCCUUUGUAAUACAAAGCUCCAUUUCUUUCCUUGAAACCCCCUGGUUCCUCUCCCUCACCCCUAAGACCUCUGAGCUUAUUCUGGGCGUAUUCAUCAUUCUCUGUUUCCUCUACCAGUUCUCUUUGUCCCACCAAUGCCGCCCCACACACCCAGCGGUCCUCUGGAAUGACAUGUCUCUCUUCGGGUGCUCCCUUCCCCUCCAAAUAUUCAGGUUUGCGUGAGAGAGCGUCCGCCCUAAUGUUCUCUGGGCCUGGCACGUAACCAAUCUCAAAGUUAAAUUUGGAGAACUCCUGGGCCCAUCUCACUUGCCGUUGGUUGAGCACUCGUGCCGUCCUCCAAUACUCUAGGUUCUUGUGGUCAGUGCACACUUGCACCUUAUGUUGUGCGCCAAUUAGCAGGUGCCUCCAUCUCCGGAACGCCUCAUGAAUGGCUAGUAGUUCUCGGUCAUACACCGUGUAGUUCCUCUCGGAUUUGUUCAGCUUUCGCGAAAAAAGCACCACGGUCUCCACUCUGACUCCUCCUUCCCUGGCUGCAGAAGCACCGCCCCAAUCGCUCUGUCUGAUGCGUCAGUUUCCACUCUCAUCGGUUUUUGUAAAUCCACAUGCAGGAGUUGUUGUUCCGAGGCGAAGGCCCUUUUUAGUUCCUCAAAUGCUCGCUCCGCCUCCUCAGUCCAAACGAACUUCUUCUUACUGCUGAGACAGUCCGUAAUGGGCGCCGUCAGUUGGGCAAAGUUUCGGAUGAACUUACGAUAGAAGUUCCCAAAUCCUAGGAACCUCUGCACAUCCUUCCUUGUUUUGGGUGUUUUCCAUUCCAGCACCGCCUGGACCUUGCCGGGAUCCAUGGCCAAUCCCUUGUCUGACAGGCGAUACCCCAGGAAUUCCACCUCCUUGGUAUGAAACUGACACUUCUCCAGUUUCACCCACAGCUGGUUGGCUUCCAGCCUGCUCAACACUUCUCUGACGUCUUUCACAUGCUGCUCCUCAUUCUCAGAAUACACCAACACGUCGUCUAAGAAGGCCACACAAUUCUUGUAAAGCAAAGGCCCCAGGACGUGGUUCAUAAACGAUUGAAAGGUUGCGGAGCCUGCUUGUAGGCCGAAGGGCAUAACCAAAUAUUCAAAUGCCCCUAAAGGGGUGAACAUGGUGGUUUUCCAUUCAUCCCCCUUCCUUAUUCGUAUCAGGUUGUACGCCCCCCUUAGGUCCAGCUUUGUGAAAAUCUUUCCCUUCCGCACCCUUGUCAAAAUGUCGUCAAUCCUGGGCAUAGGGAAGGCCACUGGUUCUGACACUGCAUUUAAGGCCCUGAAGUCACACACCAGCCUCGGCUUGUUCGUGUUUUUCUUAUCCACAAAAACACUGGGCUGCCCCCACCGCCCUGGACUCUCUGAUGAACCCUCUCUUCAGGUUCUUGUCAAUGAACUCUCUUAGCUCCUGCAUCUCUCUGUCUGACAUGGCGUACAGCUUGCCUACAGGGAGCUGUGCCCCAGGGAGUAAAUUGAUUUGACAGUCAAAGGGUCUAUGCGGGGGUAGUUGGUCAGCUUCCCUUUCGCUGAAGACGUCGCGGAGAUCUGCGUAUUGUCGUGGUACCUUCACGUUCUCCGUUACUUCAGUCCCUGCUAGGGUGGCUUGGGCCCCUGCCAAACCCUUUCCCUCUUUGCAGUGUUCUAAGCAAUGUGCUGAACCAAAAGAAACCACUCUCUGAUGCCAGCCCACCAGCGGAUCAUGUAACGCUAGCCAGCUCAUCCCCAAUAUAAUGGGAGCUCCUCCCAAUGUGGCCACAUUAAAAGCUAUCAGUUCGGUGUGCCUUGCCACCUUCAUUAUCAUUGGGACGGUCUGCAAGCUGACUUCUCCUCCCAACAGCUCCCUGCCAUCGAUCGUGGUCACCUGCAGGGGGUUGCUUAAAGGGAUCGUCUGUAUCUGGUGUUCAGCUGCAAACUCUUUGCUCAUGAAAUUGCAGGAGCUGCCUGAGUCCAACAGCGCCUUUAUCUUUAGAGGGUGUCCGUUUGGCAGCUCUAGCGCCACUUCUAUCACUAGGGCGGGUUUAGGAGGUUCUGGCGUGGGCACUCUCACUGCUCUUUGGCCUGGCUGCUGUGCCCGACGGUGGCAGCCAGGCGUUGGCUUUACUUGCUCCGGUAUUUCUUCCUCUCUUCCCUCCACAGCUCCUACCAUCCCUUGCCAUUCCUUCCUCUGGGGGCAGACUCUGGCAAAGUGACCUGGCUGUUGGCAGAGAUAGCAUUUCCGGGCGCGUUUUCCCUCCUUCUUUCCCCCCCCUCACUGGGCUUUGAAACUGCGCGCGCGCGCGCUGUUCCGAUUUCCAUCGGCUCUGCCGGCGGGAAAGUUGGCUCUGGAAUGUCUGGAAUGCGGAACUCCUUCCAACGUUCCCCCUUCCCUUCCCGCCUCUCCAAUGCUCUCGCCUCCUGGCGCGCUCCUAUGGUCAGCGCUGAUUUGGUCAGCUGGUCCAUAGACUCCGCCCUGGGCGCCCGGGAAAGUUCGUCUUUCACAGCCGAAGAAAGCCCUUCUUCAAAGAGCAUUUGAAUGGGUUCCGCCGAUAAGUCCCACCCCAAUCUGUGAACCAGCAUGGUGAACUCAGUCCAGUACUCACGGACAGAUCGGCUCCCCUGUUUGCAAGCCAUUAACUGUCUGCGCACCACUCCCUGUUCAAUAUCGCUGGAAAACAUCAGAUCCAUGGCGCGAAAGAACUUCAUCGUGUCCUUUAGGACGUCACUAUUCGCUGCCAUCAGGGGUCUAACCCAGUCUCUCGCCCCCUUUUCAAGAUGCCCAAUCACGAAAGCCACUCGUGAUUCCUCGUCAGGGAAUUCAUCAAACUGCAGAUUGAGGGCAUAUUGCAUCUCUGUCCGAAAGCCAUGAUAGUCUUUGGGCUCCCCCCCAAACUUCUGCACCAAUCCUGGUACCUUUCUGGCGAGCUGGUUGGCUUUCCCCUUUUUGUCUGCAUCCUGAGCCCUCCUCUCCUCAAGCCUCGCCGUCUGCAGCGCUAGCUGGACCUCCAACACCCGGUACCUUUCUUCCAGGCUUGGACCCGCUCCAGCUCCUGCUUCUCCGGUUCCGGCUGGGUUGCUCAUGAUGCCUUCUCCUGCACAAGCUGCUUUCAAAGACUGUCGGAAUGCUGUGAUGGGAUGAGGAGCUGCUUGUGCGUAAAAUAGUAUCCCCUCAGAGUUUGUUCAAGUCCACAAACCUCUGUCUGUGACGGAGCCCCUCAGACAUGGCUCCUCUAGUCACUAGCAGAUUCCGACAGUGGUUGCUUUCGGAAUCGCUUCCAACAUAAAAGCUCCUUAACGGAAACACGUCUUCUGGACUCUCUGCGUGACAGUUUCCGGCGAGGAGUGGGUGUUCCUACAGGAGGUCCUGAAACCUCCCCACUGUUUUCGCUGGAAGUGUCUCUGAGCCAUCCCUCCAGCUCACUUUCCCUCAGCUCAGCUCCUCUCCCCCUACUGGUUCCCUCUUCAGCUGCUGAGUCUCUCCCAACCUGUGUGAGCCCUUUCACCUCCCUUCCUUCCGAUGGCAGUUCCCUGACAGAAAGGAAAGGAAAGGAAAGGAAAAGAAAAGAAAGGAAAAGAAAAGAAAAGAAAAGAAAGAAAAGAAGGAGUUAGAUGGAGAGAUACAAGCAUUGCGAACUGUUCACAUGCUUGGGUCUCUGGAUGUUUGCUUUGAGGUACCAGGAAGUUUAAUGUAUCCUAGGGAUUAUAAAGAGGUUGUGCUUCCUUGUUAUUAGCUCUUACACCAACAACAUUUUGAAAUAAACAGAUGCCUCAUCUUGCAAAUACUUCAGUUUCCUCCUUUUUCUCAUUCAACAUAAAAUAGAUAAUAGUAACACAUCAUACUCAAGUUUGAGUUUAGUAGAGAGGAAAACAGGCAUGAGGGAACUUCAUUAUGGCCCCUUGAUUUUUUUUUUGAUUUUUAGGAAAUCAGCAGAGCUCUAUUCAUGUAAAACAUGUGAAAUACACAAACAUUUGAGUUCAAAUUCACUAGCUUGGAAUUUAUGACUUGACAAUUUAAGAUAAUCAGUUACCAUAUUUUAUGAUUGAUUGAUUGAUUGAUUGAUUGAUUGGGUACAUGUACUGCCUUUGUGCCAAGGCACCCAAGGUGGUUUGCAAUUUUAAAAUACUAAAACAAAUAUAUGAAAUAAAAUUUAUGGUUGACCCUGUGACAGGAGAGGGGAAAGUCCAACUGCGGGAAGCCCCUGAUGUUGUCUGCUUGUCUCCCUUUUGCUCUUCUUUCCCCCCAAAUUUAAAUUUCAUAGUGAACCAUGGGUUUGGAGCCUUAGAACCUUAUUUUUGCAUCCAAAACUUCAGUUUCAUGAAUUUUUUGGUUGCUUGCAGAUAUUUGGGGAAAAUGAUUCUUGCAAAUCUCCUGGUGAAAGCUUCAACACUUCAAAUCAUGUAUAUAUUGCAGCCCAUAUAACUUCCCUGCUUGAAGCUGCCCUACAUAUCCUUGACAAGCUUAGAAGUGAUCCCAGUUUUCUCUUUGUCUCUUCAGUAUGCAGCUUGAAGCAUACAUUUGGGCUCUGCACAUUAAGUUUUUUUAACAUGCUGACAUGUUUCGUUGCUCGAUUUUUCCUAAGGUGCAUUGACUCAGGUGUUCUUUGAAAAAGGGCUGCAUUUCACUUACAUACUUUACUGCCUGAGAUCUGACCCACUACUAAUUAAGCAGCAUCUUUUGAUUAUCCAUAACCAUGAUGCACUUAGUAAUACAGCUGCAGACUGAUGAAUUCUAGUUAAAUUCUACGUAGGUUGGGUUGUUAGAUACAAUGGCAGUCAAAUUGCUACUAUCAAGCAGCUUACAUUUCUUACAUUUCUUUCAGCUUUAUUAGCUCCCUUCCGCUCUUCGCUGACUGAACUGCAGUCUUGAGAUUGUUCUCGUAUAAACAGAUGACCUUGUUGCAAAUCCCAAAGUGUAUUGAUUCAUGGUUUGAAGUAUCUGGGUUUGAAGCAGACAAAGCAGUCCAUCUGAGAACAAAUUACUAUAUUAAAAGGGGUAAAUUUAUUAGAAAUAACACAGAUGUUCUUUGGGCUUUUCCCUUUCCUUGAACUCGUUCAAAACAUUCCAAACAGGUAGUCGUGAGACUUGAAGUUAACAGGGAACCAGGCAGAGGACCUCAGUAGUGUCACCCAUCCUGUGGAAUGUCCUGCCAUCAGAUGUCAAGGAGGUAAAUAACUACAACUUUUAGAAGACAUCUGAAGGCAGCCCUAUGUAGGGAAGUUUUUCAUGUUUUAUUAUGCUUUUAUAUUUGUUGGAAGCCGCCCAGUGUGGUUGGGGCAACCCAGUCAGAUGUGCUGGUUAUUUAUUAUUAGUAUUAUUAGUCUGGUAUAGCAAGAACAUUUUAAAAAUGAAGGUUUGCUAUGGCAUUAAUGAUUGUGGACUAGAGCGCACUUAAUCAGAUUUGAAGUGAUUUUGAGAACUUGUAACUUGGUCCAUAUGUAUGUGGAGUUUUUGUAAAAGGCGAAAAAUUUAUACGAUCUGAAGAGAAACCAGAGUAUCAAGUUUUUGGAUAAGUGACACAACACUGGCUGUUUAGCUGACUAUUCAGUUCAAUUUGUUUCUGGGCAGGUUCAAUGAUGCCUCAAAGCAAGUGUGAUCCCACACUUUCCAGUCACUUUCUUAAUUGCAAAAAUCCUUUUGGGGAAAUGGCUAGUUAUGCAAGGCCUCUCAAUCAACAAUAAUUGCACAGCCUGAAUUUGCUGAUAUGUGACUGAAUCCCACCCCAAAAUAGCAGCAGUCUAGAAGCACCCUCAGCAUGGAUUUUUCCUAUGAGUUGAUUGCAGAAGUCACCCGGGGGGGGGGUGGAGAGAAAGCAGUCAUCUGAAUGAUGUUUUCAUCCAGUUAAAUGGUUUUUCUUCUGGUACACAGUGGUAUUUGGGAAAUUAAAUAUAAACCAGACGCCCAUGUUUCAUUUUGGGUUUGAGAAACUUUUUCAGUCCAAGGGCUGUGCUUCCUUUUGGGGGGCCUCCCAGCAGCCACAUGCCACUAGAGGGCAGGGCCAGAGGCUAAAGUGAGUGGAGCAAUGUCUAGAAACGUUUACCUUUGUACAGCAGACUACUUUUUAAAUGUUUGUACUCACACCUCCUGGCAAGCAAGGGUGGUUAUCAGAGUUCAAUUGAGCAUUCUAGCCAGUGAGACUCAAGGAGGCCAGCAAGGAGAACCCAAGGACCAGAUUGAAAAGCCUGGAUGGCCCCUCACUCCUGCUGCGUAUCAAAAUACAGAUUCUUUCCAACAAUAGCUUGCCUUGGGUUGCUAAACUGCCAUGCUUGGCUCUGAGUAAAAUGAAAUCAUAGGGACACAGGUGGCACUGCGGUCUAAACCACUGAACCUCUUGGGCUUGCCGAUCAGAAUGUCAGUGGUUUGAAUCCCCGCAACAGCAGUUCAAAAGCAUGCCAGUGCAAGUAAAUAAAUAGGUACCGCUUCAGCGGGAAGGUAAACAGCGUUUCCGUGUGUUCUGGUUUCUAUCACGGUGUUCCAUUGCGCCAGAAGCGGUUUAGUCUUGCUGGCCACAUGACCCAGAAAGCUUGUCUGUGGACUAAUGCCGGCUCCCUCAGCCUGAAAGUAUAAUGAGCGCCGCAACCACAUAGUUGCCUCUGACUGGACUUAGCCGUCCAGAGGUCCUUUACCUUUACCUAGCCAGUCUCCAGACCUUAAUCCCAUCAAAAAUCUGUGGAGGGAGCUGAAGGUUCGAGUAGCUACACAUCAGCCUCAAAAUCUUACUGACUUGGAGAGGAACUGCAAAGAGCGAGUGGAACAAAAUACCUCCUGAGAUGUGUGCAAACCUGGUGGCCACCUACAAGAAACGUCUGACCUCUGUAAUUGCCAACAAGGGUUUUGCCACCAAGUACUAAAUAAUCUUUUGCAAAGGGAUCAAAUACUUAUUUCACUCAUUAUAAUGCACAUCAAUCUCUGACUUUCACCUUCUGGGUUUCUGGGGGUUUUCCUGUUGUUAUUCUGUCUCUCACAGCUACAAUAAACCUACCAUUAAAAUUAUGGACUGGUCAUUUCUUCGUCAGAGGGCAAACGGGCAAAUUUAGCAGGGGAUCAAAUACUUCCCCCACUCACUGUAUAAAGAUCUGGUUGACCCAAAAAGUUCCUUUUGUGAGAUCAGUUGCAAAUAAUCGUUUACAGUUGAGUCAAGUAAAUGCCUCUUGGAAGUGAUUGCCAUUUCUGGACCUCUUAUGGUAUUUUGGAGUUGAUUUAAUACAGUGUGACACAUUCCAAAGGAAAGCAGAAAUAGAUAUUCAUUCCAUAGGGCAUGAGAGUAUACUAUACAGAAUUUCAGGAGUUUCCCGCUUGAUAAUUUGCACAAUAAGUUCUGAGAUUAGGAAGUUUGGAGAUUAUCUUCACUUACCUGAGAGUAAGCUUUAUUGAAUUCAGUGCAACUUACUUCUUAGUAGACACACACAAGACUGCUGUGAAGUUCUCUUUUGUUAUAUGGCAAAUAAUAGAAAUAAGGCUGUAAUUUAACCAGUAUGCUAAUUUUAGACUAGAUAAUUUUUAAUUAUUAGGGCUGCAAGCUAAAGGCAGACUUGCUACCCCCUCCCUCUGGCUAUUUCCGUUUUGGUUUCCUUAAAAGAAAAUGAAAAAUAAAAUGCUGAAAAUGACCUAUCUUAACAAUGUAUUAAAGCUUUUGUCUAUUAAAUUGCAUGUUAAUCUCACACUUUUUUCAAUAUCUCAAGAAGACACUUAUAUUAGAUUUUGAGAAGAUGCACAAUUAUUUAAAUUCAAUUGAUCUAUCAGUUCAAAGACAGAUGAUUAAUCAACAAGUUUUUUUUAAUUUGUUGAUAGCCUUUUUUUUUUAAUUAAGGAAGUAUUUGUUUGUUACUCUUCCAAAGAGUUCUAUUGAAAGUUUCACAACAGUGUUAGGAGAAAGUGUCAAUUUGCCUCAAAUUGGACUACUAAAGACCAAUCAUUGUCCUACAGUCCCU